UGCCCCAUGGCUGAGUUGGUUACAGCGUCCGACUGUUAUCACUAAGAGCAAUCGGAAGGUCGAGAGUUCGAGCCUCUCUGGGGCAG